AAGCUUAGGUUAAACUAAACCAGAGGCCUUCAAAGCCCCAAAUAAGAGGACGCACCCUCCUAGCUUCU
rnacentral:tRNA from 1 species